UAGAGNUUUUGAUCCUGGCUCAGGAUGAACGCUGGCGGCGUGCCUAAUACAUGCAAGUCGAGCGAACGGAUAAGGAGCUUGCUCCUUUGAAGUUAGCGGCGGACGGGUGAGUAACACGUGGGUAACCUACCUAUAAGACUGGAAUAACUUCGGGAAACCGGAGCUAAUGCCGGAUAACAUAUAGAACCGCAUGGUUCUAUAGUGAAAGAUGGUUUUGCUAUCACUUAUAGAUGGACCCGCGCUGUAUUAGCUAGUUGGUAAGGUAAUGGCUUACCAAGGCGACGAUACAUAGCCGACCUGAGAGGGUGAUCGGCCACACUGGAACUGAGACACGGUCCAGACUCCUACGGGAGGCAGCAGUAGGGAAUCUUCCGCAAUGGGCGAAAGCCUGACGGAGCAACGCCGCGUGAGUGAUGAAGGUUUUCGGAUCGUAAAACUCUGUUAUUAGGGAAGAACAAAUGCGUAAGUAACUGUGCGCAUCUUGACGGUACCUAAUCAGAAAGCCACGGCUAACUAC
rnacentral:rRNA from 1 species